UCAUUCGCUGACAUGUACGAUUUUUUUGAAUCCAGAUUUCGUUUGUUCUUUUGAGUUUCUAUGAUUUUUUUUUGUAGAUGCACAGAGGAACACGAAUCGUCGUGCAAGAACUGGGAGAUUUUAGGGUUUAGGGUUCGGAUUCAUUCAUUCUCUGAUCAAUCAGUUAUUCCAUAACUUCCAUGCCGUUCUUAGGAUUUCUUUCUCUGAAGAUAUGGUUACAUACCAUAGAAACUUAGUGACUUAUGGUAGCGUGUCAGAUGUUUAUCAACGUGGGAAGUGGGAACCUUAAUGAACAAUAUCAUAUUUCUUGGUUCUACCAAUGAUACUUACCCUGUUCCACAUGUGCUGAUGUGUAUGCAUGUAAUGAAGUUAUAAUACCUCUUUUAUGA